UUAAUCCAACCCUGGAAGUCGUCAUGUCCCCCCACCAUAUUUGACUACAGUGCUCAGGAAGGACUCCUCUCUUCCUACUAAUAGCUAGGGACCAGCCACAUACGUAGUACACCAAAGACUAGGAGAAGAUUAGUUAUGGACUCCAUAACUCCAGAAAGUCGUGACUAUAUUUUAUCAUCGGAAAAGGGGUUUCUUUUACCAAAGAAGCGAAAACAUAAAGACGCUUUCGGGCAACCCACCUCCUGCCCAUCACCGCCUCUCAUCACUCCAUCUUCAUCUCCACCACCAACAUCUCCGGGGGUCCUGGUCUAAUCCCUAUCACAGCUGGGGUUCUGUUCCGCCGAGACGGGCCAUCGGAGUCUAACCACCAAAUACCUCUAAAUUCUGUACAUCAAUGAAUCAGUUCAUUCUUUCUAUGGAUCUCUCCCAACUGAAAUAACAGAUAUAAGGACUAAAUGUAAUGUGGAAGAGGUCUGUCAGAAUCAUCCACCUUCUCAGAAGGUGGCAAAAAAAACUAAAGAAGGGUUCAAGAAAUUAACUGACAUUCUUAUUGGUCAGAGUGAGAGAGAAAUAGCCUUUAAAUCUGCUAAUAUCUAAAUAGGCUUUUAUGGAAGCCCGUUUCCGCCACAAAAAAAAAAAAAUCUAUAACUCGAAAUUUUGAGUUAGUUUCUCAAAAUUUUGACUUAUUAACUUAAAAUUUUGAGAAAAGUAACUCAAAAUUUCGAGUUAGCUCUGCCAAUCAGCAAUCUACGUGAAUGAUGCCAUUUUCUUGUUACCCGGAAGGAUAUGGUGCAGAGGAAUGCGCACUCAAAACCACAUUGCAACAAAUUGGCGCUUUUGAGAGUACGUUUACUGAUAGUAACGCCAUGUGAUUCAGCUAAUAACACGAGAAUUUCAUCAUUUGUGAAGCCACGCUGAAAAUACUCAGCAAAUAUGCAUUCAUGACUGGCCGUAAUAUGGGUAGCUUAGCUGUAGCAUUUGUAGCUGAGGGCUUCAGCUUCCUGGUAACAAGAAAAUGACGUCAUUCACGUAGAUUACUGAUUAGCAGCACUAACUUGAAACUUGAGUUUCAUUUUCUCGAAAUUUCGAGUUAAUAAGUCGUAAUUUCGAGAAAGAUAACUCAAAAUUUCGAGUUAUGGAUACUUUUUUUUGUGUGUGGCAGAAACAGGCUUCCAUAGGCUUUUAUUAGCUUCCUUAAUAGGCUUAACAUGUGUCAUAAGUUAUGCACCAAUGUGGCCAGAAAGAAUUUGUAACAUGCUUUGAAAUAAAUUAAAUGAUCUCAAUCAUUUAAAAACAAAACGUAUUUUGUCCUCACCUGAUGUAUUACUAUCGGUCGAUAAAUAAAAAAAAAUCCCAUUAUUUAAGACAUUGCAGCCCUGAGGGUUAUACUGAGGUUUGCGCUUGUGCAUGAACAGGCCUGCGGUUUGGCUUUUUCCUCUCAGAGAAUGACUGCAUUCAUUAUAUUAAUAAGUGGAAGAGAGCACAGCCAUAAACACAUCAGAAUUUGAUAAAAUGUUCCACUCAUCAACAUCCAGAUUAUUUGCUAUUAAAGCC
rnacentral:lncRNA from 1 species